CACAUGAAUACAUAGUGUGUAGAGGCGAACGAGGGGAACUGAAACAUCUAAGUACCCUUAGGAAAAGAAAUCAACCGAGAUUCCCCUAGUAGCGGCGAGCGAACGGGGAUUAGCCCUUAAGUCUAUGGGGUGUUAGUGGAAUGAGUUGGAAAGCUCAGCGGCACAGGGUGAUAGCCCCGUACAUGAAAACUAACCAUAGAUGAAAACGAGUAAGGCGGGACACGUGACAUCCUGUUUGAAUAUGGGGGGACCAUCCUCCAAGGCUAAAUACUCCUGACUGACCGAUAGUGAACCAGUACCGUGAGGGAAAGGCGAAAAGAACCCCUGUGAGGGGAGUGAAAUAGAACCUGAAACCGUAUACGUACAAGCAGUGGGAGCGGUUCUUGAGACCGUGACUGCGUACCUUUUGUAUAAUGGGUCAGCGACUUACAUUUUGUAGCGAGGUUAAGCGAAUAGCGGAGCCGUAGGGAAACCGAGUGUUAACUGCGCGUUUAGUUGCAAGGUGUAGACCCGAAACCGAGUGAUCUAGCCAUGGGCAGGUUGAAGGUUGAGUAACAUCAACUGGAGGACCGAACCGACUAAUGUUGAAAAAUUAGCGGAUGACUUGUGGCUGGGGGUGAAAGGCCAAUCAAACUCGGAGAUAUCUGGUUCUCCUCGAAAGCUAUUUAGGUAGCGCCUCGAGCGAAUACCACUGGGGGUAGAGCACUGUUAAGGCUAGGGGGUCAUCCCGACUUACCAACCCUUUGCAAACUCCGAAUACCAGUGAGUACUACUCGGGAGACAGACGGCGGGUGCUAACGUCCGUCGUCAAAAGGGAAACAACCCAGACCGUCAGCUAAGGUCCCAAAGUACUAGCUAAGUGGGAAACGAUGUGGGAAGGCUUAGACAGCUAGGAUGUUGGCUUAGAAGCAGCCAUCAUUUAAAGAAAGCGUAAUAGCUCACUAGUCGAGUCGGCCUGCGCGGAAGAUGUAACGGGGCUAAGCUAGUCACCGAAGCUACGGGUGCGGUCCAUUAGGACUGCGCGGUAGAGGAGCGUUCUGUAAGCC
rnacentral:rRNA from 1 species